AUCAAACUCAGGUUUACUCCUCUCUUCUUCAUGGUGAUCUUUCUGUCUAUGAAUCAAUCAGAGGCUCUGGAAACACUGGAAGUGCAGAUGAAUACAACAACCUCACAUCUGGAUUUCAGCUUGAAGGUCUUGAUAAGAGGAGCAGACAUGAUGGCACAGAGGAGAGCUCUGACUACAAUAAUGUGAAUCCUGAAUCAGCCUCGGGUACAAAUGUGAACUCUACAGAAACUGAAUCAUUAGUAAUCAGAUUACAUGUGCAGUUAAAUGUGUGACAUCAUUGUUAAAGUUUCAGAGUUUUGUGGAGCUGAUGAGCUGAAUCACAACUGGUUUUAGUUCUGUUGUGUUUCUGUUGUGGUGUCUGAAUAAAACAAUGAGCCUCUUAAAUUUCAAACACAUGCAGCUAA